rnacentral:rRNA from 1 species
CCUACGGGAGGCUGCAGUCGAGAAUCUUUCACAAUGGGGGAAACCCUGAUGGUGCGACGCCGCGUGGGGGAAUGAAGGUCUUCGGAUUGUAAACCCCUGUCAUGAGGGAGCAAAUUAAAAAGAUAGUACCACAAGAGGAAGAGACGGCUAACUCUGUGCCAGCAGCCGCGGUAAUACAGAGGUCUCAAGCGUUGUUCGGAAGCACUGGGCGUAAAGCGUGCGUAGGCUGUUUCGUAAGUCGUGUGUGAAAGGCGCGGGCUAAACCCGCGGAGGGCAGCUGAGACUGGGAGACUAGAGUAAUGGAGGGGGAACCGGAAUUCUCGGUGUAGCAGUGAAAUGCGUAGAUAUCGAGAGGAACACUGGUGGCGAAGGCGGGUUACUGGACAUUAACUGACGCUGAGGCACGAAGGCCAGGGGAGCGAAAGGGAUUAGAUACCCGUGUAGUC